AAAUAUAAAUUGAAGAAACAACUAUAAAUACAGGUCUGGCUUCUGUGAAAGUAUGAUUUACGCCGUCGGGUCUCGCGAUUUGCUUAUUUCUCUUUAGCGAACCCCGUAUUUUCGAUCGUAUAUUAGUUCGAGGUUGCAUUGGAAAUGGUAUUAAUACUUUACCGUUCUAGGAGACGAAAUAUAUCAGAGAAUAUUCUCUUCUUAGGACGAUAUUUUCAAACAAAUUGUUGCACACAGACUUGAUAAUAAAAAAAAAGAAUAAUAAUAAUUUGGUUAAAAUUCGACCGGUUAAAAAUCUACAAUGUGUUACAUAGUGGUUUUUUUGUAAAUUAAUCUAGCCAUUUUAACAAUUGUUCGCUAUUUGAGCUAUAGUUUCUCUCUUUGACGUCAUUCUCUUGUAUUUUAACACAACAGCAGAAGUUUCGCAAGUUAGUUGAUUUUAAAAUACUCAGACUCUUACAUGUUUAUUGUUUCAAGAUAAAUUUAAAUCUUACACACGAAUACUUUAUAAUUGAAGUUACAACAAUUUUCAAUUAAUUAAAAUUAAGGCUGUAUUGCAAAAUUGUAAAGAUAUUUUAAAAAAAUCUUGUUUUUGUAACUUGUCUUUGGAUUAUCUGAUAAUAUUUUUACAAUAAUUAAUUGCAGGAAAUUAACUAAUUAAUGAAUUAAAUACUAUUUUAUUUUAUAUAAAUUUAUAAAAUUAUAUUAAUAUAUCUAUAUUAUACGUUUACAUUUUCGGAACAGCAAAUCUUUUAUGAUGUUCAAACAUCUAUUUUGUAUCUUACUGGGAAAGAUUAAAUUGAGAAUUUGUUUAAUUUUCAGAUAAAGUUAUGCGAUAACUUGACUUAGAAAAGAUGCUCUCAGAGUUGUUAGGUAUAGAUUCUAAUACGUAAAGAUAGAUUCGCUGGUGAGGGGCGAUCGUGUAUAUUUAGAAAAGUGCCCGGUUUGCCAGAACUGAGAGAGACUUGCGUCUCGACGCUUCGCGUGAGAUUUCUCCGUUGAUAUUCCUCGGUGUACAAAUCGAUGAGAAGAAGCUAACGUCCAUCGCCGAAUAAUUGUGAAAUAAACGAACCGCAGCCGGUUCGUCGCGUCGCGCGUUUGUCUCGGGAGUGCCGUUUAAAUAUUGGACUAAAUAGACUUUUUUUUUAUAACUCCCAUUUGAUAGACUCCUAGUUCGAGGGCCGGGAAUCGCACCCCUGCUGCUUGGCAGUGGAUAUCUUCUCUCUGGGGCGUUGCGCAUGGUGGCUAAGAAAGACGGCGCACCGCGACGUUCCAUGCCGAGUGCCCGUGCACGAGGUAAUGCCGGGCCGCAUGUACGACAUGCCCCGUGUGCAUGUUGCGCGGUUGUCUGGUUGUGUGAGGUUACACGCUCUGUCUCUGACGAUCGGUUCGGUCCUAAGUGGUAAGAGUUCGGAUCAGUUGCCUUGGAUUCGCACGUUUCUCUUGCUCUCGUCCACCAUCCUAAGGCUUUCUUAGAUCCUUGAUACCGUUUUUAGAUUCUUUGGAUCUAGGGUUCGAGCUAGGUGAAUCACGUUUAAUCUGACUUGGUCAGAACUUGGCCUUGUAGGUUAAGCUUGUGACGAGAGGCUGGCUCUCAUUUCCUGAUUCGUCUAAAAUGCUAGACAUCGGCAAUGAGUACCUUCUUCUCUCGUCCUGCCGGAGUGUCUUGUCGACGCCGCUUGGAUAUAAGAUCCAGUGGGACUGAUCUCGAUGAUCCGUUGGCUGGGCGUAUGAACGAGUCAAUUUUAGACGUGAUUUUUGUGAGACAAGAGGCGUAGGAAUUCAAUACCAUUGAUUUCGUUUUCUUCCGCGUGGGUCUUACCCUUAUUCGGGGGUGGGUACGCGUGCGUUCUACUUGCCGACUCGGGGUGCUGAAUCCACGGGAAUCCCUAUGAAUGGGAACUCGUAUCAUGGGUUUUAUAAACCCGAAGUGCCGCAGUGUCGCGCGAAAAACUUUAUAAAUAAUAAGUCCACGCGCGCAAAUUUAGUGUAUUAUUCGCGAGUGUUCCGCGUGUGCAACAAGUGAAAGAGGACAACCUUGAGGACACUGAGAGGAGGAGGAGGCCUGGGGAAGGCAUCAUGCUUCAGCGGAGCAACCUUGGGUAAUCAUCGUAGCUUCGUGGCUGAGUAACUCCGCUCGUUGCGCAUCGGUCGGUGAGUCAGUAAUAAUUUUUCUCAUAUUUGAAUGUUUUUCACAUAUCCUGCGCAGGAUUAAACGUAAGGUCACUGGAAGAAAGAGUUUGGCAAUAGCUAUUACUAAAGUCUUUUCUUCAGUGGACCUGGAUAUUUUAUCGAAGGGGAAUUCUAGUACCCAAUUGCGCGCGAUCGGUUCCGUAUUUUCGCGAGUGAGUGUACCGAAUCAUGACGACCUGAGGAAGAGGAAGAGGAAAAAAAAGAAGUCUGGAAGGCAAUCUUGGGAUAAGUAAUAUUUGCAAUAUAUACAGAGCGUAUAAUGUCUAUCUAAUCAAUCUCAUUAGUGUGUUAUAGAUAUUUCUCGGUGUACAAAUCGAUGAGAAGAAGCUAACGUCCAUCGCCGAAUAAUUGUGAAAUAAACGAACCGCAGCCGGUUCGUCGCGUCGCGCGUUUGUCUCGGAAGUGCCGUUUAAAUAUUGGACUAAAUAGACUUUUUUUCUAUAACUCCCAUUUGAUAGACUCCUAGUUCGAGGGCCGGGAAUCGCACCCCCGCUGCUUGGCAGUGGAUAUCUUCUCUCUGGGGCGUUGCGCAUGGUGGCUAAGAAAGACGGCGCACCGCGACGUUCUAUGCCGAGUGCCCGUGCACGAGGUAAUGCCGGGCCGCAUGUACGACAUGCCCCGUGUGCAUGUUGCGCGGUUGUCUGGUUGUGUGAGGUUACACGCUCUGUCUCUGACGAUCGGUUCGGUCCUAAGUGGUAAGAGUUCGGAUCAGUUGCCUUGGAUUCGCACGUUUCUCUUGCUCUCGUCCACCAUCCUAAGGCUUUCUUAGAUCCUUGAUACCGUUUUUAGAUUCUUUGGAUCUAGGGUUCGAGCUAGGUGAAUCACGUUUAAUCUGACUUGGUCAGAACUUGGCCUUGUAGGUUAAGCUUGUGACGAGAGGCUGGCUCUCAUUUCCUGAUUCGUCUAAAAUGCUAGACGUCGGCAAUGAGUACCUUCUUCUCUCGUCCUGCCGGAGUGUCUUGUCGACGCCGCUUGGAUAUAAGAUCCAGUGGGACUGAUCUCGAUGAUCCGUUGGCUGGGCGUAUGAACGAGUCAAUUUUAGACGUGAUUUUGUGAGACAAGAGGCGUAGGAAUUCAACCAUUGAUUUCGUUUUCUUCCGCGUGGGGCUUACCCUUUUUGGGGGCGGGUACGCGUGCGUCCUACUCGCCGACUCGGGGUGCUGAAUCUACGGGAAUCUCUCUGAAUGGGAACUCGUAUCAUGGGUUUUAUAAACCCGAAGUGCCUCAGUGUCGCGCGAAAAACUUUAUAAAUAAUAAGUCCACGCGCGCAAAUUUAGUGCAUUAUUCGCGAGUGUUCCGCCUGUGCAAUAAGUGGAAGAGGACAACCUUGAGGACACUGAGAGGAGGAGGAGGCCUGGGGGAGGCAUCAGGCUUCAGCGGAGCAACCUUGGGUAAUCAUCGUAGCUUCGUGGCUGAGUAACUCCGCUCGUUGCGCAUCGGUCGGUGAGUCAGUAAUAAUUUUUCUCAUUAUAUUUGAAUGUUUUUUACAUCUCCUGCGCAGGAUCAAACAUAAGGUCACUGGAAAAAAGAGUUUGGCAAUAGCUAUUACUAAAGUCUUUUCUUCAGUGGACCUGGACAUUUUAUCAAAAGGGAAUUUUAGUACCCAAUCGCAUGCGAUUGAUUCCGUAUUUUUGCGAGUGAGUGAGUGCACCGAAUCACGAUGAUCUGAGGAAGAGGAAAAGGAAGAGAAAGAGGAAAAAGAAGAAGUUUGGAAGGCAACCUUGGGGUAAGUAAUAUUUGCAACAUAUACAGAGUGUAUAAUGUCUAUUUAAUCAAUCUCAAUAGUGUGUUAUAGAUAUUUCUCAGUGUGCGAAUUGCCGAGAGAAACCUGGAUCUGAGAGGAGGAGGAAGCCUGAGAGAGAUCAGCACACCAAU